rnacentral:rRNA from 1 species
UACGUAGGGUGCAGGCGUUAAUCGGAAUUACUGGGCGUAAAGCGUGCGCAGGCGGUCUUUUAAGUCAGAUGUGAAAUCCCCCGGGCUUAACCUGGGAACUGCGUUUGAAACUGGAAGGCUAGAGUGUGGCAGAGGGGGGGUGGAAUUCCACGUGUAGCAGUGAAAUGCGUAGAGAUGUGGAGGAACACCGAUGGCAAAGGCAGCCCCCUGGGCUGAACACUGACCGCUCGAUACACGAAAGCGUGGGGAGCGAAACAAGG